rnacentral:rRNA from 1 species
AACGUAGGAGGCGAGCGUUAUCCGGAUUUACUGGGUGUAAAGCGCGUGCAGGCGGUUUAGCAAGUCGUGCGUGAAAGCGCCCGGCUCAACCGGGCGAGGUCGUGCGAAACUGCUUAACUUGAGGUAGGUAGAGGCGUGUGGAAUUCCGGGUGUAGUGGUGAAAUGCGUAGAGAUCCGGAGGAACACCAGUGGCGAAGGCGACACGCUGGGCCUGACCUGACGCUCAGACGCGAAAGCAUGGGUAGCGAAC